CAACAAUUUAAUUUUUGAAUUUGGAAGAAUGUUUCGUGGCAGCGUCAUCAGUAAAUCAAUCAUCUUUGUACAAGUUCAGCACGCCCUAAACUUCAAUUAAUCACAUCAUGGUUGGAAAUUUUAUGCUUCAUAUGUAAGAUCAAUGGUUACUAUUGCGGAGACCAGAGAUUAUGAUUGGCAUCUAAUUGUGCUCUAGACAGCCAAAGAAACUCUUCUUCUGUUGUAUAUGCCCUGUAUCAGCCCUGAAAAAUGAAUUGAUGUAAUCCGGAUUUUCCUCUCUCUUAGCAGGUGUAGAUGUGAUAAUUUAUGAUGUUUGGUGCUUAUUUUUGUGAUUUAUGGUUGGGGUAAGUGAUUUCAAGGGAGAAGACUGAAACAUCACUAUUUCCAUGUAGAGAAAAUAGGUUUACUUGCAUAUACAUAGCAGGCUGUUCUCAAUAAGUUGUGCGGGAGCUAAGAGCAUGAAGUCCGAUAGAAAUAUGCUAGGUGAAGGUUGCAAGUGGCUUAUAUUCUACUCAACUUUUUGCAGUUAUAUAUUGAAGAUGAGAAGGAUAAUGUCCAGUUGACGUGCACCAUUUAACUUUUGUUGGAAGCAAAUAGUGAAUUUUCGUUCAUGAGGUUUCGGGAAAUGCUGGGUACAAGGAGGAUGGAGGAAUAUUGAACGAGGUCUCAAAUCUGGCACAAACUACUCAACAACUGUUGACAAAUGGUCAACUGUUAUGAAGUUCUGCAACAAAGAAUGCUCCGAGACUUAAGUUAUGCGAGUUGGUAUAGUACAACUUCGGAAAAUUAGCUUCAUGCUUUAAUGGUAUGGUAAUGUAUUGCAUAUGAGCUGGUUGAUAAUUACAUGUUGGUUAGUAUUCAAUAAUGUUGCUUUAAAUAGGUGGAUGUUGAUAUUCCGUAGAAGAAACAACGUCGACCAAACUCCUAAUACACCUAGCUAGAUAUGCUCAGUUCAGUUUGGAUGAGGUGAACUGAAUGUACAAAAUAAGCUUACUGUUUGAAAAGCUAGGUAAAGACAUCUUUCUCUCCAAUUUUGUCAAUAUCAGAAGAUCAUUUAACUUAUGGACAGGAAAAUUGUUGAAUGGUCGAGGGCUGAUGUUUAGGUCGAGAUAUUCUAAUAGAUUUUGUAUCAAAUUUCUUCAAAUUAAUGUAAGAAAUAAUUUGCAUGGCUAACAAUUGUCUUAACAGGUUUAUUCAUAGGAUGCACGACAGAUAUUUCAGGUCCCACAAAGUGAAGAUAAUUCAAAAUGGGGCUCCAUUGAUUCAUACUUGAGGAGAAGACACAUAUAAACUGAUGCACUGCUUAUAUAUCCUAAAAUUCGAGCUUCCGGUAUCAAAUGAAGUUGAGUAAGUUGCAUUAACUUUUAACUGUUUGCUUAAGUUCCAGGAAAAUAAGAACAUAUUUGAAGUGUAGCCAGUACUUAGUAGGCUCAAAGCCUCUUUUUGGUCGAACGUUCUCAUUGGUAGUUCUGGCAACUACUUAAUUCUUUUCCUACCUAUAUAAUUUAUAUUGGCUGCUUAUAUCUAACUAACUGGGAUAUUUUACGGACACCAUGAUUGUGACAUGUACUUUAAGGCACGAUAAAGGAAUGAUCGGCGUCCUUAAACAUGACUUUUAACGAAAAAGCUCUAAACCCAUUUCUUAUCUCAUCUUUGUUUCCGAUUAAAUGUGUAUAAUAUGCUUUACGGACGCAAGGUUGAGCAAAGAUAAUUAGGUAGCUGGAUGAUUAAAUUAGGCAUGGAAUGGUAAUGGAAUGUGACCAACUUUUAAAAAUGUUAGGUCAUUAUGUUUGAUCUAACGCCAUUACAUAGGUAGUUCUUUUUCUUAAUCAACUACAGCCUAUGCAAUCCAAUGCCAUAUCCAUUUCCUAGGGCCUCAUGUUGGGGAUUCAUAUCUAAAUAUUUAGAUGAUCAGCAUCAAAAAUGUUUGCAAGUGCGUGUUCCAGCUGCAGACCAGGGAAAUACUUACUCAUUAUAAAAAUUCUAAGCAUUGACAAGUAUUGCAUGGACUGGUGAGAAUUCCAAGGACCUCUAAAUAAUGUAAGGUAUAACUCAUAUUUAUGGCAUCAGUUAUGGCAUAGAUGAAGCCGCCACAACGGGUAGUGAUGUACGCCGCAUUGACUUUAUUGGUGCAUCUGAUCAUGGCUCUUCAUUUAGAGAAUCAACAACUCUAUAAAAAUUGUGAUGUGAAUCCACAAGAUAUAUUUUGGAAGGUCCAUUGGUAUAUGGUUAGGGGAAACUGGUACCGAGGAUCGCAGAUGCUCUAUAUUUGCACAUUGAUAAUGAAGCUAUUAGCUAUUGUCUAUUUUUCUAGAAGGAAGGUCCACUUAAAACUCUCAACUUGCAUUCCGCUGAUUUUCUUGGGUAUAUUCCCUAUCUAAAGAUUGCUUCAUUGAUACAUGCCUCCUUUUUGUUUACUGCCGUUGAAAGUACUAUGAUAGCAUCAUAUUGGACUUCUUUGUAGGUGGAAAUGAUUAUCAUGUUACAUUACUGAUGGGAUUAUCUGUUAAAUAUCUGGUAAGAUCUGAGUUCCGCUCUCCUCCUCUCUUUCUUCAUCUUCUCAAAUUUUGCUCCUGCUUUUGGGUUACGAGCUAGAGUUUUUAUGAAGAUCUCUUUUAAGAUUUACAGCCGUACUGACGGAAACCUAGUCUACUUUUAAGAAGAAGAAGAACAAGAUGGUGCAUCAUUAUGAUUUACGUGGAGAAUAUUUGUUUUCUGUUUCCAGUACUGGAAUUGGAUAUGGAGAUGAUCUGGAGCUGCAGUUCAGAACUUAUUGCAAG